GUUUAACGCUGGCGGCGUGCCUAAUACAUGCAAGUCGAGCGAAGCGGGGACGGGUGAGUAACACGUGGAUAACCUUCUAUAAGACUGGGAUAACGUCGGGAAACCGGAGCUAAACCGGAUACGUAUAGAUGGAUCCGCGCUGCAUUAGGUAGUUGGUAAGGUAACGCCUUACCAAGGCAACGAUGCAUAGCCGAGCUGAGAGGGGGCUAGGUCAUCCUGGAACUGAUAGACGGUCCAGACUCCUACGGGAGGCAGCAGUAGGGAAUCUUCCGCAAUGGGCGAUAGCCUGACGGAGCAACGCCGCUUGAGUGAUGAAGGUCUUCGGAUCGUAAAACUCUGUUAUUAGGGAAGCGGUACCUACUCAGAAAGCCCCGGCUAACUACGUGCCAGCAGCCGCGGUAAUAC
rnacentral:rRNA from 1 species